AGCGAACGCUGGCGGCAGGCUUAACACAUGCAAGUCGAGCGGGCCCUUCGGGGUCAGCGGCGGACGGGUGAGUAACGCGUGGGAACGUGCCUUCUAGUUCGGAAUAACUCAGGGAAACUUGAGCUAAUACCGGAUACGCCCUUUUGGGGAAAGGUUUACUGCCUGAAGAUCGGCCCGCGUCUGAUUAUCUUGUUGGUGGGGUAACGGCCUACCAAGGCGACGAUCAGUAGCUGGGUAGAGAGGAUGGUCAGCCACACUGGGACUGAGACACGGCCCAGACUCCUACGGGAGGCAGCAGUGGGGAAUAUUGGACAAUGGGCGCAAGCCUGAUCCAGCCAUGCCGCGUGAGUGAUGAAGGCCUUAGGGUUGUAAAGCUCUUUUAUCCGGGACGAUAAUGACGGUACCGGAGGAAUAAGCCCCGGCUAACUUCGUG
rnacentral:rRNA from 1 species